rnacentral:tRNA from 1 species
GAGCCAUUAGCUCAGUUGGUAGAGCAUCUGACUUUUAAUCAGAGGGUCNAAUAAUUCUUGUCUUA